CUGUGGAGAGAAUGUCAAAGAAGUUCAAGGAUUUCCUACAUGCAUUUUUCCACUGGAUGAACUCAACUUUGCUCAGAUUUCUUCACUUUUCCUGACAUGCCCAACUGGAAUUGCAGGAGGAAUCCUGGCCAGGGGCAGGGCCUGGACACUGGGAUGCUGCUGCUGAGGUCCUGGUGGAGAAAUCACCGUGUGUGGCUGACCCAGCUGAGCUCCACCUCUCCCCAGAGCUGUGUUUGCCAUGGGAGCACAUCUGUUCUGGCUUCUCCACCUAUUUCUGAAGGAUGUUUUCAUGCCAAAGAGGGAAAAAGAAAUCCUAACAAAUAGCAAGUUCAUGGAGUGCUUGAAUCUGAGGAUACGUUCAAGUGCAGACAUAACAUCAGGAACCCUUGUUCAAACAAAACCCUCCUGGAGUGACUGCAAUUAAACCAAGAAAGGACGUGGACCUGGUCUUUAUUUUUGAUCUCUUGCCUCUGCAGU